ACACGCAUGACACACUGCAUAUCAAUAAGCGGAGGAAAAGAAACUAACAAGGAUUCCCUUAGUAACGGCGAGUGAAGCGGGAAGAGCUCAAAUUUGAAAUCUUCAAGGUUCUACCUUGACGAAUUGUAGUUUAUAGAAGUGUUUUCUGUUAGUAGAGUGGCAAAAGUUCUUUGGAAUAGGACAUCAUAGAGGGUGAGAAUCCCGUAUUUGGUCAUUCCUUCUAGCUUUGUGAUACACUUUCAACGAGUCGGAUUGUUUGGGAAUGCAGUCCAAAAUGGGUGGUAAAUUUCAUCUAAAGCUAAAUAUUGGCGAGAGACCGAUAGCGAACAAGUACCGUGAGGGAAAGAUGAAAAGAACUUUGAAAAGAGAGUUAAACAGUACGUGAAAUUGUCAAAAGGGAAGCGUUUGACACCAGUGUUGUUUUUCCGAAAAUCAAUUACGAAUGUUUUGUUUUUAAGAAGUUAUGACUUCAUCGGCUUGCUUCUUUCUUUACGAAACUUUCUUAAUGCACUUUUCGGUUAACAAGUCAACAUCAAUUUCUUUUGUUGUAAAAGGGUAUGAGGAAGGUGGCUUUCUUUUCGGAGAAAGUGUUUAUAGCCUUGUGCCUCUGCAAUCGGAGAGAUUGAGGUCUGCAGCGUAGAUCCUUCGGGGUUAGAUGCAUUUGUGCUAAGUUAUAGCCUUUCAUAGACAACUUGUUGACUAUGAUCAGUCAUGUAGCUUACUCGCUUAUGCUAUUUUACCUACGCUUAGGAUGUUGACUGAUAUGUAGUCGUA
rnacentral:rRNA from 1 species